CCAGCACCCCGAGUGGUCGGGACGAUUAUUGGGCCUAAAGCAUCCGUAGCCGGUUUUACAAGUCCUCCGUUAAAUCCAACUGCUUAACAGAUGGGCCGCGGAGGAUACUAUAAGACUAGGAGGCAGGAGAGGCAAGCGGUACUCAGUGGGUAGGGGUAAAAUCCGUUGAUCCACUGAAGACCACCAGUGGCGAAGGCGGCUUGCCAGAAUGCGCUCGACGGUGAGGGAUGAAAGCUGGGGGAGCAAACCGGAUUAGAUACCCGGGUAGUCCCAGCUGUAAACGAUGCAGACUCGGUGAUGGACUAGCUUUAUGCUAGUCCAGUGCCGCAGGGAAGCCGUUAAGUCUGCCGCCUGGGUAGUACGGUCGCAAGACUG
rnacentral:rRNA from 1 species